GACAGAGGGUGCAAACGUUGUUCGGAAUUACUGGGCGUAAAGCGAGUGUAGGCGGUUCUCAAAGUCGGAUGUGAAAGCCCCGGGCUCAACCCGGGAAGUGCACCCGAUACUGGAGAGCUAGAGUGUCGGAGAGGUUGGUGGAAUUCUCGGUGUAGAGGUGAAAUUCGUAGAUAUCGAGAGGAACACCGGUGGCGAAGGCGGCCAUCUGGACCGCAACUGACGCUGAGGCGCGAAAGCGUGGGGAGCAAACAGG
rnacentral:rRNA from 1 species